UACGAAGGGGCUAGCGUUGUUCGGAUUUACUGGGCGUAAAGCGCACGUAGGCGGAUAUUUAAGUCAGGGGUGAAAUCCCGGGGCUCAACCCCGGAACUGCCUUUGAUACUGGGUAUCUUUGAGUCCGGAAGAGGUGAGUGGAAUUCCGAGUGUAGAGGUGAAAUUCGUAGAUAUUCGGAGGAACACCAGUGGCGAAGGCGGCUCACUGGUCCGGUACUGACGCUGAGGUGGCGGAAAGCGUGGGGAGCAAACAGGG
rnacentral:rRNA from 1 species